rnacentral:rRNA from 1 species
GAACGACCAGCCACACUGGGACUGAGACACGGCCCAGACUCCUACGGGAGGCAGCAGUGGGGAAUCUUGGACAAUGGGCGCAAGCCUGAUCCAGCCAUGCCGCGUGGAUGAUGAAGGCCUUAGGGUUGUAAAAUCCUUUCGUCGGGGACGAUAAUGACGGUNCCCGAAGAAGAAGCUCCUGCUAACUUCGUGCCAGCAGCCGCGGUAAUACGAAGGGGGCUAGCGUUGUUCGGAUUUACUGGGCG